rnacentral:rRNA from 1 species
UCGAGAAUUUUUCACAAUGGGGGAAACCCUGAUGGAGCGACGCCGCGUGGGGGAUGAAUGGCUUCGGCCCGUAGACCCCUGUCAUUUGCGAGCAAAGCGCAUUAUUUAAAAGAUGAUGUGUUGAUAGUAGCGGAAGAGGAAGGGACGGCUAACUCUGUGCCAGCAGCCGCGGUAAUACAGAGGUCCCGAGCGUUGUUCGGAUUCACUGGGCGUAAAGGGUGCGUAGGUGGUGAGGUGUGUCGAAUGUGAAAUCUCGGAGCUCAACUCCGAAACUGCAUUGGAAACUACCUUGCUGGAGGGUUGGAGGGGGGACUGGAAUACUUGGUGUAGCAGUGAAAUGCGUAGAUAUCAAGUGGAACACCAGUGGCGAAGGCGAGUCCCUGGACAACUCCUGACACUGAGGCACGAAAGCUAGGGGAGCAAACGG